UACGAGGGGGGCGAGCGUUGUUCGGAAUUAUUGGGCGUAAAGGGUGCGUAGGCGGUUUGGUAAGUCUGAUGUGAAAUCUAUGGGCUCAACUCAUAGUCUGCAUCGGAAACUGCCGGGCUUGAGUAUGGGAGAGGUGAGUGGAAUUCCUGGUGUAGCGGUGAAAUGCGUAGAUAUCAGGAGGAACACCGAUGGCGAAGGCAGAUCUCUGGGCCGUAACUGACGCUGAGGAGCGAAAGCGUGGGGAGCGAACAGG
rnacentral:rRNA from 1 species